rnacentral:rRNA from 1 species
AGAGUUUGAUCAUGGCUCAGAAUGAACGUUGGCGGCGUGCCUAACACAUGCAAGUCGAGCGUGAAAGUUUCUUCGGAAAUGAGUAAAGCGGCGGACGGGUGAGUAACACGUGAGAACUUGCCUUUUGGUGGAGAAUACCUUCGAGAAAUCGGAGUUAAUACUGCAUAAGUCCCUCCGGGGAGAAAGAUGGCUUUAUGCUGUCGCCGAAAGAUAGGCUUGCGGACUAUUAGCUAGUUGGUAGGGUAAAGGCCUACCAAGGCAAUGAUGGUUAACCGGCCUGAGAGGGUGAACGGUCACAUUGGAACUGAGACACGGUCCAAACUCCUACGGGAGGCAGCAGUGAGGAAUAUUGCGCAAUGGGCGAAAGCCUGACGCAGCGACGCCGCGUGAAGGAUGAAGGUCUUAGGAUUGUAAACUUCUGUUAAGUGGGAAGAAAAAGUGAUUUCUAAUACAAAUCAAAUAUGACGGUACCACUAGAGAAAGCACCGGCUAACUUCGUGCCAGCAGCCGCGGUAAUACGAGGGGUGCAAACGUUAUUCGGAAUAACUGGGCGUAAAGGGUGCGUAGACGGUUUGUUAAGCUUGUUGUUAAAUUCCCCGGCUUAACUGGGGACAUGCAGUGAGAACUGGCAUACUAGAGGAUGAGAGAGAAGAGUGGAAUUUCCGGAGUAGCGGUAAAAUGCGUAGAUCUCGGAAGGAACAUCGAUGGCGAAGGCAGCUCUUUGGCUCAUUCCUGACGUUGAGGCACGAAAGCGUGGGGAGCAAACAGGAUUAGAUACCCUAGUAGUCC